AUUGAACGCUGGCGGCAGGCCUAACACAUGCAAGUCGAACGAGUGGCGGACGGGUGAGUAAUGUCUGGGAAACUGCCUGACGGAGGGGGAUAACUACUGGAAACGGUAGAUAAUAGCGCAUACCAUCGGAUGUGCCCAGAUGGGAUUAGCGAGUGGGUGGGGUAACGGCUCACCUAGGCGACGAUCCCUAGCUGGUCUGAGAGGGUGACCAGCCACACUGGAACUGAGACACGGUCCAGACUCCUACGGGAGGCAGCAGUGGGGAAUAUUGGACAAUGGGCGAAAGCCUGAUGCAGCCAUGCCGCGUGUAUGAAGAAGGUCUUCGGGUUGUAAAGUACUUUCAGCGGGGAAGCGUUACUCGCAGAAAAAGCACCGGCUAACUCCGUGCCAGCCGCCGCGGUAAUUC
rnacentral:rRNA from 1 species